AAUCAUGGCCUUUCAAGUAACAGUCUCUGGAAGAAAAGGGGCCUUCAAAAUGAUUGCAGUUGCUGGCACUAACUUUAUGUGGUCUAUCCCAAAGUAGUUUUUAAGAUUAAUGGCCACUAUGAGGGAAGACAUUCAUCCUUGUAUACAUCUGCUGGCAUGCAUGGCCUUUAGAUUUUGACAUGAGUGGUCACACGGCAUAUUUGAAGAAGACUUGUUCUCUAAUAUUCUUAACUAAAGAUGGCCUCUUUUGCAAGUUAGAGAGCUUCCUUGAAUUUUUUUUGAGAGCUCUUAAUUGUGGAAAAUAUACUAAGAAAACUUGGGACACAGAUAUGC